rnacentral:rRNA from 1 species
AGAGUUUGAUCAUGGCUCAGAUUGAACGCUGGCGGCAGGCCUAACACAUGCAAGUCGAGCGGUAGCACAGAGAGCUUGCUCUCGGGUGACGAGCGGCGGACGGGUGAGUAAUGUCUGGGAAACUGCCUGAUGGAGGGGGAUAACUACUGGAAACGGUAGCUAAUACCGCAUAACGUCGCAAGACCAAAGUGGGGGACCUUCGGGCCUCAUGCCAUCAGAUGUGCCCAGAUGGGAUUAGCUAGUAGGUGGGGUAAUGGCUCACCUAGGCGACGAUCCCUAGCUGGUCUGAGAGGAUGACCAGCCACACUGGAACUGAGACACGGUCCAGACUCCUACGGGAGGCAGCAGUGGGGAAUAUUGCACAAUGGGCGCAAGCCUGAUGCAGCCAUGCCGCGUGUAUGAAGAAGGCCUUCGGGUUGUAAAGUACUUUCAGCGAGGGAGGAAGGCAUUAAGGUUAAUAACCUUAGUGAUUGACGUUACUCGCAGAAGAAGCACCGGCUAACUCCGUGCCAGCAGCCGCGGUAAUACGGAGGGUGCAAGCGUUAAUCGGAAUUACUGGGCGUAAAGCGCACGCAGGCGGUUUGUUAAGUCAGAUGUGAAAUCCCCGGGCUCAACCUGGGAACUGCAUUUGAAACUGGCAAGCUUGAGUCUUGUAGAGGGGGGGUAGAAUUCCAGGUGUAGCGGUGAAAUGCGUAGAGAUCUGGAGGAAUACCGGUGGCGAAGGCGGCCCCCUGGACAAAGACUGACGCUCAGGUGCGAAAGCGUGGGGGAGCAAACAGGAUUAGAUACCCUGGUAGUCCACGCUGUAAACGAUGUCGACUUGGAGGUUGUUCCCUUGAGGAGUGGCUUCCGGAGCUAACGCGUUAAGUCGACCGCCUGGGGAGUACGGCCGCAAGGUUAAAACUCAAAUGAAUUGACGGGGGCCCGCACAAGCGGUGGAGCAUGUGGUUUAAUUCGAUGCAACGCGAAGAACCUUACCUACUCUUGACAUCCAGAGAACUUAGCAGAGAUGCUUUUGGUGCCUUCGGGAACUCUGAGACAGGUGCUGCAUGGCUGUCGUCAGCUCGUGUUGUGAAAUGUUGGGUUAAGUCCCGCAACGAGCGCAACCCUUAUCCUUUGUUGCCAGCGGUCCGGCCGGGAACUCAAAGGAGACUGCCAGUGAUAAACUGGAGGAAGGUGGGGAUGACGUCAAGUCAUCAUGGCCCUUACGAGUAGGGCUACACACGUGCUACAAUGGCAUAUACAAAGAGAAGCGACCUCGCGAGAGCAAGCGGACCUCAUAAAGUAUGUCGUAGUCCGGAUUGGAGUCUGCAACUCGACUCCAUGAAGUCGGAAUCGCUAGUAAUCGUAGAUCAGAAUGCUACGGUGAAUACGUUCCCGGGCCUUGUACACACCGCCCGUCACACCAUGGGAGUGGGUUGCAAAAGAAGUAGGUAGCUUAACCUUCGGGAGGGCGCUUACCACUUUGUGAUUCAUGACUGGGGUGAAGUCGUAACAAGGUAACCGUAGGGGAACCUGCGGUUGGAUCACCU